UCAUUUCAAAUAUCAUGUAGUGCCGAAAAUGGUGCAGUACGGUAAUGCUGCUAUAGCAACAUUUUGACAGCUCUUGCGUCGGCAAAUCAACACCAUCACCGGAGUCACGAUCACAACAACCAAAAACAAAAACGUAAAUAGAGUGAAAUUUUUGAAAAUUUCUUUUGAUUCGCGAGUGAUUUCGACGAAAAAAUCGCGAUUGUGUAGAUUUUGAGUGUUUGUUUUACGAAGAGAACACCAUUGCGGAUGGAAAUAGGAAGUGGGGGACCAACGCUGUACUGUAACAGUAGGAAGAUGCGACUAAAAGACGUUUUACGAACGAGGUUCAAAUUCAAGAACCCAUCAGUAAUAAUCUGAAGCUUCCGCAGGAGAAAAACAGAUUGAUCAGCAACCGUCAAGAAGUACCUCCUGACUGAACGUGAUCCAUGUGAAAACAUCGGCCAAACGGGAGCUUGUAAAAAGAGUGCGUAGCAGUCGGGAACGAGAACAACGCCGGAAAUGUAGCUGUCCAGAAGACACAAAAAGGGUGUGAGUACCGCUUACUGGUCGAUUAUCAAGAAGACCCUAUUCUCGAUGCUCGAUAACCUCCAUCUGUUCCGGUGAGGCGACUGGGGAGCAGCUUAAUCUGGGUUCGGAUUGGUCGCCGUAUAAAUAUCAAAUUUGUCAAUAAUGAAGAAGAAAAGAGUGGCAUCCGGGUCUGGUUUCGUGUGAAGCCAUCGUCUCCCACGCUUCACACGAAAACUGCACGUGAUUGUCCGGCAUUGGAACCGAUGCCAAAGGUGAAUCGCGGCGGCAUUUUCGCGAUUGUCCGCCGCAAUCAAUUGCUCCGUCACGACCAACCGAGCAGAUCUGACAUCCACUUCCCGAAUCCCAAAGUAACACACCAAUCGCAGGAACAAGAAUACCGAAAAUGUGAAGAUAACCUGUAGUAUGUACCUAGUAGGGUAUGAUCGUGGAGGAAUGGUACCCCUCCACCGAAACGAUACGAAUACCUGCGCUGGCCGGUUAGUGCCCCUAGGAGCUGAUGAUGAUAAAUGAUUUUUUUUGCUUCAUGGACGAAGUCAUGAUGGCCUCUUCCAAAGUAUCAACAAAAGCAAUCUUCUUGUUAUUGUUAUUCAGGCCUCCUUGUUAUGUGACGACCAUUCCAACAUGAUAUGCCGUGUUUCAUCAGAAUUACAUACAUCUGUUUAUAUAUAUCAUGUAAGAUUGAGAAAACAAGACGAGGUGUACAUGUAUAAAUUACUUUUCACAUAAUUCAAUGUAUAAAACUAUUCUUAUUUGAACUCUGCCGAAAUGUCCAGUUUUGAAAAAGUAAAUCAUUUUGUAGUUCUGCAACAUAAAUGAGGCCUCAAUGGCAUGGCGCACAUUUAUUAUCUAAUAUAUAAAUAAAAUCUUGAACAUUCAAGCGUUCAAGUGAAAUAAAACUGCAUUGUUAUUUCCCUCAAUAGUUGACAUUCCAGUAAAAUCAAACGGGGGGACAGGAUGAACCUU